GGAAUUGCUGAGAUCUGGAACCGGCCCCAAACCGACCGCCGGACAGUUGGUCACUGUUCACUGCACCGGCUUCGGUAAAAAUGGCAACCUAUCUGAGAAAUUUUGGAGCACAAAGGACCCUGGACAGAAGCCUUUCUCAUUUAAAAUUGGUCAAGGCUCAGUUAUAAAAGGUUGGGAUGAAGGUGUGCUUGGCAUGCAAGUGGGAGAAGUUGCUCGUCUCCGGUGCUCCCCAGACUAUGCUUAUGGCUCUAGUGGGUUCCCUGCAUGGGGCAUUCAACCAAAUUCAGUCUUGGUCUUUGAAAUUGAAGUUCUGAGUGCUCAGUGAUCAAAUCUCUUUUUAUAUUGCAAAUGUAGUUUGUUAUGAGAAGUUUCGAUUUCGG
rnacentral:misc_RNA from 1 species